UGUAGUGGUUCCCUCUUUACGUAAAGCAGGUGAGCGAGAGAGCGUGUGCGUGGUUGGUGAGCGCUGACGAACACCGUUACCAUUGCCAGUCCUCGCGCCUCCUUCGCACAUUCGUAUUUCUCCUCAGCAAGACUCCGUCUGCCACAUCUAUCUGUGUGUGUGUGGGCGCUUGUUGGACAUCUUCAGCAGCGGCCAUGCCGUUCUUCUGCGUCGGCGAUGCGGCCACUUGCCCAUCGGAGGUGUGCGAGGACCUCGCCGCGAAGCCCAUCACAGCGCACCACCAGCUCAUCAUCUCCACCGUCACCCACCAGUUAGGCCCGUUGGCUGGCGCUAUCUGCCGCACCCUCAUCCAGUCAGGGCCAAUGUCGUUGAAGGACAUCAGCGAUGCCGUCCACCGCGAUGAGGAGGUGCGCGCCGUCGCCGCUGCUGCCGCCAACCGCGCUUCUGCCACCGGGGAGAAGACGACAGCGGUGCCGCCUACCCACCAAGUCGGCUCUAGCUUCCAUGUCAACCUUGGUGACAUUGCUUCGGUUAACGACGUUAUUCACGAGGUGGCGGUGAAGGAGCUCGUGACGCGGCUAGUGGUGCAUCGCCUCAUCCACGCAGACACGGCCACGCACCUAUACGAGAUACGCUACGGCAGCGCUAUCCUUCUGCGCGUGCUUUUCCCGCUCCUUCUCCAUUGCGCACGUCAGCAGUACGGCGAGGCUGCCAAGUGCGUGCUUCUCGUAGUCUACCAGCUGGGCGUCGUACCGCCGCGCGCCGCAGUGCAGGUGGCGCUGAGUCGCACCCCCAGCAUCACCCGCGACGCGAUCGAGUACGCUGUUGUUCGCAUGGCCGAGGAUGGGUGGCUAGUGCCGGUGCUCAACUCACCCACCGCAGCACCCGGUGCUACGACAGCGGCAAAUGCGGCACGGCUGGCCGACCUGGCCCCCUCACACCCGGGCGGCAAUGCCGAUAUGUGGAACACCACGACCCCGUACUCUGUGGGCCUCGAAGCCGCCCUGCAUUACCUCUUCAACGACGCGAUCGAGCAGGCCGUUGCUGAGCGUUAUGCAGACGGACGGCUUGCCCUCACGCUGGUGCGUGCGCUGCGGCGCCGUAUAGCACCGAACUCAGGGUACACCGAGGCUGUUGCCUCGUUCCAGGAGCUGGCGGCAGAGCUCCCGACCACUGCAGGUGUGCGCCGCGAUCGCAGCGGUGAGCCGCGGAUGGGCACCGACAACGUGCCGAGUAGCUCCGUGGAGGCGGUGCAGCGCUGCCUGCAGCGUUUGUGCCAGCCCAUCGUCUUUUAUAGCUGCGACGCCGCUGCGCCCAUGACGUCAGCCGCCGGCAUCUCCCCGAGCUUCACGACGAUGCCGUCGACGCGAGCGCUCUUGGUGAAGCCGCACAGCCAGAGCAACUUUUACGCGAUAGACCAUGUCACCGCUGUGCACCUGCUGCAGGAGGCUGUGUGCGAGCGGGUCGUGUACAGUCGCUACGGCGUGCUCGGUGUGCGCAUCAUGAAGCUGCUGCUGCAGCACCACUUCCUUGAGGAGCGGACGCUGGCGGAGCAGUCCAUCGCAACGUACGUCAAGGUUCGCGAGGUGCUGCACCAGAUGUUCAAGGACGGCUUCCUGCUUCAGCAGGAGGUGCCGCGCACCUCGGCACUCGUCGAACGGUCCGCCAAGGCGAGCGUGUACCUCUGGGGGCUGAGCUGGAGCGCGACGCUGCUGCCUGUGGUGCGCGAGCGUCUCGCGAAAACGCUGACGAUUGCGUGGGCGAAGCUCCGUGAGGCGCAGCAGCAGGCGUCCGCCGUCGCAAAACCUGCGGCCGGCGUCCGCCCCACACCCGCAGCCGGCAGCAGCAUCAACAGCAGUGCGGCUCACGCCGAGGAGAUCGAGGCGCAGUGGAAGUAUGGCAUGUCGCGCAACAUUCAGCAGGCACUGCAGGCCCAACGCGCUGUGACGGGGCUGCAGAGCUGCGUAAUGUCACUCAUGCGACUGCUGCUGAUCGUUGAUUUUUUUUAAAGGCGUGCGUCGCACAGCAGAGCGGCAGACGAACGCCGACGUGGUGGGCGUGGCGUCUCUCUCUCUGUACCGUUGUUUUGGUAGGCGUGCGCGCCAGCGGGACGGAGCGGUGCGGCCCGCACGCCGUCCGUCGCCGCUCUUCUGUCCGUCUUGUGCACCCGCGCGCGUGGUGUGUUGUGCGUAGGCGUGCCGCCCGCUCUGGAGGCUGCGUGAAGCGAUGAACAGAACGACUAACGAAACAUGCGAAGGUUGUCGCGCACCGCGCAUCUUACGUCCUGUCCUUCUUUCUCUCUCUGUGUGCUUUCCACCGCGUCUGUACGGCGGUGUUGCUCACUGAAGGCACCGCCUCCUCACAGGCGAAGGGGAGUGUGCGUGUGUGUGUGUUG
rnacentral:misc_RNA from 1 species